UACGUAGGGUGCAGGCGUUAAUCGGAAUUACUGGGCGUAAAGCGUGCGCAGGCGGUCUUUUAAGUCAGAUGUGAAAUCCCCGGGCUUAACCUGGGAACUGCGUUUGAAACUGGAAGGCUAGAGUGUGGCAGAGGGGGGUGGAAUUCCACGUGUAGCAGUGAAAUGCGUAGAGAUGUGGAGGAACACCGAUGGCGAAGGCAGCCCCCUGGGCUAACACUGACGCUCAUGCACGAAAGCGUGGGGAGCAAACAGG
rnacentral:rRNA from 2 species